UCUACAUUAUUUUUAUUUUUUGAACUAGUGAUAAUGUAAAGUCAAUUACUUUUGACAGAUCAAAGAAUAAUAUUCCUAACUAAAUAUUCAUAAAACAAAUAACUUUAUUCUCAAACUUUACCACGCAAGAUUUCCAACCGUACUUCAUUCCACAAACUCAAAAAUCUCACGCAACGCAAGCAUCUUUCAAUUUUUGGUUACCGCCGAAACCCAAAAGGAUAAUCGCUUGUUUGUUACCGCUCCUAGGAACAAGCCUUCUGUUCUUAUUGGAAAGCCAAGUAUCUGUCGAAUUAACAUAAAUCCUUUUUAAAUAAUAAAUCUUCUGUUAAGUGUAAUGAAUCCGUGAAAAACGAGGAUGACUGAGAAGUAGAGAAGUGCCAGAAUACGAAGCGCCUUUUGUAGAGGUUAGGACGACCAGUGGCGAUAAACUGUUCUGACGCAGCUGUAAAAUAGGCCAAGACUUUAGAACGAUACUCGCUGCUUGCUGCUUAGCCUCGUUAUUAACCAAGACUUGGAUAUUUGGAUACCCUUAAUCUCUUUUCUACGAUUCUACCGAGUCUAACCUGCUUGACUGAACAGUGACAAAUAAUAUCAAGUUGCCUACUGCGAUGCCAGCGCUACUCUGGACUCGCUAUCUCAUUUUAAAGGACACGCCACCGAAGAUGAUCCUCCGUUGACAAAAGGUGUCGAGACCGAACCUGGAUCGUUGUCCGGAAUUUUUCCCAAAAUUGCCAGCGCCGCUUUACCGGAUGCAAUUGACACGCGUGAUAAAAUAAAUGAUUGAUCGAGUGCUUGCGUAAAUAUUGUGAAGGAUAAUAGAGAUAUACGGAAAGAGGAGUUAUACAAGGUGUCUCACACAAACACGUGAAAAUACCACGUUUCAAUGAAACUUGAAACUACAAAUAUAAUUUACCGAUAUUAAUCAUCAUACCAUAACUGCAGCUCGAUGCUAUGAGGCAAGAGAAUAAAAUCGUUUAAAACAAGAUUCGUAUCGACGAAAGUGGAAACCGCGGCAAAGAAACGGUAGAAAUCAAGGUAAAAGACGAUCACCAUUCGCUUUCGUAUACUCCCUUCCCCUCAUUACUCACAAUCAGUCGAACGUCUGCGCGGUUAUGCAUACGAAAUACAUAGCUGUGUAUAUCCUUAUCCAGGCCAAGUUCAUCAACUGGGAGAAAGAACACUGAACACCUAACAAGACCAAGAAAAAGAACGAAACGCAGAAGGAAAGACAGAAAGAAAAAAACAUAUACGCACACGGCAGCAUCGUCAAGAUCCUUCACGAGUCAGUUCGAUGAGGAGAACGGCAGAGAAACGAUACGCGAUGAAGAUAGACGACAACAGAGGAAUCACGAAGGGAAGAGAGAAAGGAGGAGCCAGUUCAACGAGUUCUAAGGCGGUGGCGGGUCUUAAAAAGAUGUCGAACGCUUUGAUGUUUGCCGCACGUCAUCUUGUGCGCUACCUCUGCGCGCUGAUCCACGCUACAACCAACGACUAGCGAGGGAUUGCCGAAAGAUCGCGAUCAAGAGGGUAGAAUCGCGUGCAGGAAUGGACAACAACGAUACCAACAUAUGAAUUAUACAAAACUCAAAUAAAUCCAAAACACCAUACAAGACUUUCCAAAUCACAGCUGGAAUAACCUGGGCGUGUGCUUUCGAGGACUUUCCACGAUCUCGAGAAAUGAAGUGCUCAUCGAUACUGCUCUCCUGACAAAUGUGCGCAUUGUCGGUGAACAGCGUGCUUCCAACUUCACAAUUACAUCGUUGCUCGGUUAUUCGAUGUAAAAGGAGAACCAGGAUGCUUUCCAUCGACGGGAGCCGGUCCGUUCUGGACGAACGGAUCGUUGAAUGCCGGCAGAUCCUUUUUACGCUUCCUCCCCAGAGGAUCGGUCGCUUCCUACGAUUCGUCAUCGGCAAAAACUUCUCUUCUCAAUGACCGAACGUCGCUGAAUGUAUCCCGAACGACGUAUCCAUGAACGGGUACACCUGUAGCUACUGGCUGCUAUUCCCGAAAUAAUUCGGGCCAUAAUAAUAAGCCCGGAGCCGGAACGAACACAAGGACGACGGCCCAUUGACUCCGUUUUUCGUGCGAGUGAAUAGGAACGAGACGAAUUGUGCACACGAUGAAUCGGCACCAUAGCUCUCUCGAGGCUAGUGGGUCCUUGAAUGAAGAUGUCGUCGCUGUUUCCGCAGAGAAAUAACAUCGAGUCGAUCCUACGAUUGUCCAUAAAUUAUAUCCUCUACUCCAGUUUGUUAUUUCUCCGGCUAUUCUUUUCUAUUGGUAUUUGGGGAUUUUUCCGGUUAGCUGUUUACUUACCUGCGCAGUUGAGUGUGAUGGCAUUUUUAGCGAAUUGUCAAGCGCAAGAGAGGCUCUGCGGUUAAUGCUGUUUUAUUAGCUGUCUGGCGUUUAUAAGUCGAACGGCGACGAGGUAGCAAUACGGCUUGCAACGUCUUAUCUUAUUUGAUACAAUCCCAACGGUUGGAAGAAAGAUGACAAUAUCGAAUAAUUGGUUUCUCACAUGCUGUGACACAUAGCUAUAAGUGCACUUCUAGUCGCAGGGGCAGCGGCAUGUAGAGAUCUGGCUGUUCCAAAUUCGAGGUACGGAUGUAAAAUAAUGUAUCUGGACCUAUGGCAAAUAAUUCGAGUUAAAGUAACUUUUAUUUAAUUUUAGCGAAAUGAAUUAAUUUUAACAAAAUUGGUUAGAGAGGUUUCCAAGUAAUAAAGGUUCAACUAUAUAUACAUAUGAACGUUAUCAAAUUUUCAACUUUGAUUCCUUCUUUGCCAGAACGUCGCUAAAAUAUCCUGGAUACACGCAAGUUGGCGUAACGAGAAGAAAGUCACAACGUUUAACUCCCUGCGAACAAAACAUCCUGUACCCCAAUAUCGAUAACUACCCAAUUGUGCAGCCUCUGGAGGUUCGUUUCUGAUGUAAUCAGGGAAUACGCAGGGGGUGCUACUAAUUGUAAUCGUAUAAUACAGUCGACCGAGGGGUAACGGGCAUCGCAAAGAAUUGAUUCUGGUUACGUUAAUAUAAUCAGAAAUUCAGGACUUGCUCGUCCCUGCCCUUAUGAAAUAUGUACCACGGGAGUUGACAGUAUUCGCGUCUUAUUUAUUUACCGCCCACAGCACGAUCGCAGAAAAUCAACGACCCGUUUCGAGCAUUUGCUGCGCUCUGCACGAAAAUAUAUUUUGGCACGACAGUGGAAAGUUUUUAAGAAUCAAAAAAGUGUCCAUAUCUCUGGAAUGUUCGUAUUUCAGUGCGCGCAAAUGUUUAUUCGAUUAUAGGUCAACUUAGAUCUCGCACCAGUUCCCGGGUCUCUCUCGAUCGCAGCCGGGACGGUCAUCGUGGAGGUUUUAGUCCGUUGGAGUCCGAUACUACCACGCUGCUUUCCCCAGAAGUGGCCUGGUGUCCGUGCGGAUUUCCUCCACGUUAAAAAAAGGAAAAGGUCAACUUAAUAUUUUAUAUGAUAUUUUUUAAAGUAAUGCUAUUUCUAAAUUGAAUAUGUUGAUUAAAUUUUGAUUACCAUGAUUAAUUGGGUCCUCUUGCACAGGUAUAAUACUUGCAUAACAUUAACAAGUUUCGCAAUAAAGCAAACGAAGAAACGAAUUAGACGACUGUUCUGUAUUAUUGUGCAAGAAGCUGCUGUUUUUCCAAAAGCUAGCUAUCCUUCCAAAAGAAUAUAGAACGUUACGGUAAGGAAUCACGAAAGGUAAGACUAAUAUUAAGCCACGUUUCUAACGUUUUGAACAAAGUUUGAAUUCAAUUUAUCCAGCGGAACUCUCAUAAAUACCUAACCUAUAAACAUCUGACGGUAACCUCGCAAUAUCUAGUGCAACAAAUAACAUGAAACGAGAAACGUUCCGCGAGAGAAUCGCAACAAAGUAGUAAGUAGAUGCGUAAUGUCGAAAGAGGGCAGCUUGGCGGCAGUGUAUUAAACAUCAAAGACAAGAGUAGGAAAGAGAAAGGGAAUCUGAAUGGUGAGAGGAGGAGGUUGGUAAAAGUGGGCAAGAUCGCGCGCGCUUGAAAAGGCAUCCAUCGGCCUCUCUUUCAGCGGCGCGCAUGAAACGAGCGCGCGGUAUCGGCGCGGCGAUGGAGCGGAGAGCGCGCGUAAUCAAUCAGUUUCAUGGGAGCACGGAGGCCCGGCGCGUUAAUGCCUGGUAGAAAACUGAAUACACGCGCGGUUACCGCGCUCGCCAGACGAGGAUUCGGCCGAGUGCAACGCGCAAGAUGAAUACGGGACCGACUACGAAUGCAUGCUUGCACCAGCUACCGUUCGCUGGAUAGUUGCCUCAAUGCCCGAUCCCUGUGUGCACGUGUCUUCGUAUAUAUAUGCGGUGUCUCAGAAUUAUAGGUCAAUUAGAUUGGUGAUGGAACACAGCUAUACGCGCGUUAUGGAUACGAGUUGAUACGUUUGCUGACGAGCAUGACCUGUUUGGAAUGAGCAGUUGUUAAGUAUUACGAACCACUCAAGACAUCAAUUCGUUGGCGUACGAAAAGCGAAUCGAAUUCCGAGUUCGAGGACGGAGAAGAUGAAAACUGUCGAAAUAUUCGCACAUGCCUGCUCAUAACUUAAUGGAGUUGACAAGUUGUCGACGAGGAUGAUGGACUGCGCUAGAUCCAGGGGAUUCCUGCAACCCCAACGCGGGGCUAAAAACGGAUUCGCCACGGGCAGCUGCGGCGACGCGACUCCUCUCGCCUUCUAGCUCAUUUUCCUCCUCCUUAUUUUUCGGGGGAAAUCAACUCUCUCGCUUUCUCUCUCGUCCGUGUAAUCGGUUUUUCUGUUGUGUCACUUGAACAUGGCAGCCUUUGUGCACACGCGUGUUUUACACGAGACCCGUGUCCAGAAUUAUGCACGGGACGACCCCUCGUCAGAACUUCGAGAAGCGAAAACCACUUUAUUAUAUGCCCGUCGAAAUUUUCAUUCAUACUCGUUUUACUUCGUCAUGGUUCCUUAAUACCGUUCGAUGCUGAAAUAUAAACGCGAACGUGCGUAGCUUAUGCGUAAUAGGUUCAUUGUUUAGUCUAUAGAAUCUUCCUUGAGUGAAAAGUUAGUCAGGUGUUUAAUAGACGAUAAUGACUAUGGUAGAUAGACUUAUAUAAUUAUUUUUUUAACCUUACCUCGAUUACUCAAAGCGUCAGUAUAGUAUUGUGAGAUAGAGACAAACUGUAUUAAAUUAGUGGAACUACCUUUAUGGAAUCUGGUAAGCGAUGAUUUUUACGUGUUCAAUUAUUUUUUGGUUUGCUAAAUGAUAUCAUAACGUAUAAUAGUGAUAUUAAAAAAUAAAGAUGACUUGUAUAGAUAGCGAACAAAAAUUGAACGUGAUUUAUAAUUUCAGGAAGAGGAAAUUUGGAUCUACCGAUAUGGAAAUGAAUUUCGGUAAAUUUAUACCCGAUGGUAAUAUAUCGUUAUCUUAGUUACAGUUGAUAAAGUAGAAAAUGCUAUACAAGUAUGCUCACCUGAUAUGCAUUUUAUUCUAAUGGUUAUUUUAAUGUCAUUCCCGACGUUACCGAUGCAGCAAAGAAGAAGAUUAGAAUAUCAGUAGCGGUUGGAAUUAAAACUAAAUCUCACGUAUCAAACUAUGAAUAAAGUAGAUGGUAUAGAUAAAUAGAAAGGAUAGAUAAGGAUUAUCAAGUAUUCAUAAGUAGCCGAUGUAACAAUUAUCUUUCUACUAAUACUACUAACUUAUUAAUCUUUCCACUUCGCUAUUUUUUGUUCUUACUGAUUUUUGUGUGCGAAAGAAGUAACUGUCGAAUAAAAAUUAAAUACAGUUUCUAGGCUUAAGUCUACUACAAUUUUGAACUUACUUUCUAAAGUCUCAUUACACACCUUUACAUUAACAAU